rnacentral:rRNA from 1 species
AAGUAGUUUCUUAUUUUAUUUAUAAGUUUUUAUUUUUAAAUAGAAAUAACUUAGUUUUAAGUAUUUUUUAUAGAAAAAAUUAUUUUUGUUAUAGUGAAUGGUACUGUAAAGGAUUGAUUAGGUGUUAAUUGGAAGUAACUUUAAUUUAGUGUACCUUUUGUAUCAGGGUUUUUUAAUUUAUUAUAUUUAUUAUAGGUUUCCCGAAAUUAGAAGAGAUAUAAUUGAAUGUUGGUUAAUGUAGUAAAAUUAUUAAUAAUUUAAUUAUGGUAAUGAAAUGUUAUUCGUUUCUAAAUAUCUGGUUUUCUUGGAAUUAAAUUUAAUUUAGGAUUUUUAUUUAUUAAAAGAAAAUUUAAUUUCUUUUAUUUUAAGUUUCUAAUAUUCUUGGGGAUAAGCUCAGGAUUAAUUAUAUAAGUUAUAACUUAUUAAGAUUUUGUAGGCUUGAUAUCAGCCAUCAUUUAUUUCGUUAUAGAUUAUUCUUUAAUUUGAUUUAUUUAAUUUUCUUUAUUUUUAUACUUGAAUAAUUUGAUUAAUUUAAUAUUUUUUGUAAUAAUGAUUAAAUUAGUAUUUUAGUGAAUUAAAUUAUAGGAACUCGGCAAAUUUAAUGUUCGCCUGUUUAACAAAAACAUGUCCUUUAGUUUAUUUAUUUAAGGUCUAGCCUGCCCAAUGAAGUUUUGAAUGGCCGCAGUAUCCUAACUGUGCUAAGGUAGCAUAAUCAUUUGUCUUUUAAUUGGAGGCUUGUAUGAAAGGUUGGACGAGAUAUUAACUUUCUUUGGUUUAAUUUUGAGAACUUAAUUUUUAAGUUAAAAAGCUUAAAUUUAUUUAUUGGACGAGAAGACCCUAUAGAUCUUUAUAAUUUGAAGUUCUAAUAAUUUAGUGAUUUAUUUUUUGGAGUGGGAAAAUUAUUUUGUUGGGGCGACUGUAGAAUUUUAAGAACUUCUAUUUUUAGAUUUCAUUAAUUAAUGUUUUUUUGAUCCAUAUAUUUGUGAUUAUAAGACUAAGUUACCUUAGGGAUAACAGCGUAAUUUCUUUGGAGAGCUCAUAUUGAUGAAGGAGUUUGCGACCUCGAUGUUGGAUUAAAAUAAGUUAUAGGUGUAGAAGUCUAUGUACUGGGUCUGUUCGACCCUUAAUUUUUUACAUGAUCUGAGUUCAGACCGGCGUAAGCCAGGUCAGUUUCUAUCCUUAAUUAUAUUGGUAUGCUUUAGUACGAAAGGACCGGGCGUAUGGAAUAUUUCUUAUUUUUUUGAUUAAUAUU